rnacentral:rRNA from 1 species
UACGUAGGCAGCGAGCGUUGUUCGGAAUUACUGGGCGUAAAGAGUGUGUAGGCGGUGCUCUAAGUUCGGUGUGAAAUCUCCUGGCUUAACUGGGAGGGUGCGCCGGAAACUGGAGUGCUCGAGCGUGGGAGAGGAAAGCGGAAUUCCUGGUGUAGCGGUGAAAUGCGUAGAUAUCAGGAGGAACACCUGUGGUGUAGACGGCUUUCUGGACCAAAGCUGACGCUGAGACACGAAAGCGUGGGUAGCAAACAGG